UAAUAAUAAAAAAAGAGGGUAAGAAAAACCGGGAAAGAAAAAAAAGAAAAGGGGAAGAACCUUUUUAUUCUCCUCAACUUUCUCAAAAUGCCGAAACCCUAGAGGAGAAAAGGGGGAAAGAAAUUCUUGUAAGAUUUUUGUCGAAUGACAAAAAGGGUCUCUAUUCUGCGUCAUUUAAGGUUCCGGAUGUUUAUGGUGUUUUCCAGUUCAAGGUUGAGUACGAAAAGCUUGGGUAUACAAGCUUAUCCCUUUCAAAACGGGUUUAUCACAUCUCAUGGAAAUUUUUAUUUUACAAAUAAACUAUCAAAACUUUGAAUUUUGCGGAUUCCAGUCAGGCCAUAUAGACACAAUGAAUAUGAAAGAUUCAUACCAACUGCUUAUCCCUACUACGGAUCCAAGGGGGGCGCGGAGUGAUCAUCCCUUUAAGUCAGUACAGUAGUAUUGCAAAUGAAAGACAAAUCGUGUCUUUUUCUUAAAAUGAAAAAGAAAAAGUAGUAAUUUAUUAUCUGAGUCCCAAAUCCUUAAGAUGAGUAAAAUGCUUGUAUAUUUAGUAGUUGUUCAAUGCAGGCACAGGUAAAAUUGAACAAUAUUUUUACAACUAGCCUAAUUUUAGUGAUCUAAUUAUGGUUUUAGACCCUUUAUUAUGUUGAAAUUUGGGAUUCAGUUUUUCUAAUUUGAUUUGGCAUAAUUUAGUCUUUCUACUUUUACAAUAUUAUUGGUAGGUUCAAAUGGCUAACAGUACUCAUUUAAAAAAGAAAACCCAGCUUUGAGAUUCGGCUUAGACGAAUUGAACACUAUUUAUUGGAUUUUUUAAGAAAAUAGGCAACUGGUAACGGUGUUUAUCAAUUUGAAUUUACUAAAUGGUGUACUCUAACGUUUUGGCCAACUAUUGGUAUAAGAAUUGGUAUUUACUGGUUUUGAACUACAGGUUUUCUCUCUCUGUCUCUGAUCUCUAUAGUUUAAAAAGAUUUCAACUUGUUAAUAAAUUGUUAAUAGAUGAUUAGAGCUGUGAACCGAAUUUCAAGUUAAUAUAUUAGUUUUAAAAAACUUCCAUUUUUCUUAUUUUUGGCAUAUAAGAGAAUUUUUUUAUGUAAUAACUUCUGUGAAGCUAACAUUAUAUUCUACUAAUGGUGGUUUUUUAUGCAAACCACACACCAUCCACUCCGAGGUGGUGCAGUGCUUGCUGCUUCCUUCGUCGCCUGUUUCCUGUGGUGCUUCGGAUCUGGGCUCUGGCUAUUUGACGACCCGGCUGUUGGAGGUUCCAGGUCUUUGAACCGACCUCAAAUUAAAGCUCAGGCUAGUUGAAUUGCUGAUCUGCUUCGCGAAACUGACGUUUCAUAUCUUUAAGUGUUUAAAAUUCUAGUGAAUUUGAAAUUUUAGCUCAAUUUUUAGUGUUUUCUCAAUGCAGUGAAAUCUGAAAGAAAAUAUUUGGACUUCUAAGUCUUUGACAUUGUUAUUGAUUAUAUAAGCUUUAUCUCUUCUUUUUUUUGAACAAUUUGUAUUUAUUGGUUAAAGCUCCCACAUAGUUGCUAUUUGAUUUAAUUGCUGUUCGGUGUUCGCGAAAUUGUUAAAAGGAAUCUUAGGGAUGAGGCAAAUUCAGUUUCGCAUGACCAUUUGGAGCCCUUGGAACUUCAUGCACAAGUUCUCUAAUACAACCCUGCAGCAUUUGAGUAUGUUACCCUUGGUAAACAAAGUAUUCUCGUUUCUCUUGUUCAUCUUAUCUGAUGCCCCUAAUAAAUGGAAGACUAAAGGAAUUGAGCCAAUGCAUGAUAGUUCUUUUUGAUAUAUGUAGAUGGGGAAGUCCCUUUACAAAAUUAGAGUGUGAUUUCUGGAGAGAUCACUGAAUUAUUUCAUUAGCUUAUUGAAGCCUUUGUAAAAUUUUGCUUGAAUGAUGUCUAAUAAUGGUAGCGUUUACAGAUAUGUGGGCUGUUGGUGCUAUAUUAGCGGAGCUUUUUACUUCAUCUCCUAUUUUUAUUGGUGAAAGUUUAUGCAGGAUUGGUCAUUACACAAUCCCUAAAGAGAUGAAUGAAGUCUACAAUUGGCUUACAACAAUGUUGAGGCUCGAGGGAUAACACUAAAUAUAGCCAAGAGUCGAGAAGCAAUGGAGGUGAAAAGAGAGAAAACUGCAUAUGUUACAAGUAGGUAGUAAACAAAAUGGAUUGUUAGGGUAUAUGGUAUACUUGGAUCUGGAUAUAUUUCACUACUUAGGGCUACCUUUGUAGAAAUAAGAGAUCAACAGAGUUUCUUGGAAUUAAAGUUGCAGUUUCAAACUGUAUUAGCUUUUUUGUAGUACAACAUCAAUAUCAAUGUACAUCGCCUUAGGUACUUUUUUAUUUGUUUACUUUUGUACAUUGAGUUGAAUGUUAGCGGUAUACAUUUCAGCUAAAUGUUAUUGUAUUUUGAUUGUUGGAUCAAUUUUUGUAGUGAAUAUUCAAUCUUUAUUUUAA